rnacentral:rRNA from 1 species
GGCUUUUUGAUAAUAAUUUAAGGUCUGGCCUGCCCACUGAGUAUUUAAAUGGCCGUGGUAUUUUGACCGUGCUAAGGUAGCAUAAUCAUUAGUUUUUUAAUUAAAAACUGGAAUGAAAGGUUGGAUAAGAAAAUAACUGUCUCUUUUUAAUUUUAUUAGAAUUUUAUUUUUAAGUUAAAAAGCUUAAGUAUUAUUAAAAGACGAGAAGACCCUAUAGAGUUUUAUUAUUUGAUAAUUUUUUAUGUUUUGGAAUUAAUAUGUUAAUUUUAUUUAAUAAUUUGAUUGGGGUGAUUGAAAAAUUUAAUUAACUUUUUUUAUAUUUAUACAUUAUUUUAUGUUUUUUUGAUCCAAUAUUUUUGAUUAUAAGAUUAAAUUACCUUAGGGAUAACAGCGUAAUUUUUUUAGAAAGUUCAUAUUGAAAAAAAUGAUUGCGACCUCGAUGUUGGAUUAAAAUUAAUUU